rnacentral:rRNA from 1 species
AUGCACGCUGGCGGCGUGCCUAAUACAUGCCAGUCGAGCGAACGGACGAGAAGCUUGCUUCUCUGAUGUUAGCGGCGGACGGGUGAGUAACACGUGGAUAACCUACCUAUAAGACUGGGAUAACUUCGGGAAACCGUAGCUAAUACCGGAUAAUAUUUUGAACCGCAUGGUUCAAAAGUGAAAGACGGUCUUGCUGUCACUUAUAGAUGGAUCCGCGCUGCAUUAGCUAGUUGGUAAGGUAACGGCUUACCAAGGCAACGAUGCAUAGCCGACCUGAGAGGGUGAUCGGCCACACUGGAACUGAGACACGGUCCAGACUCCUACGGGGGGCAGCAGUAGGGAAUCUUCCGCAAUGGGCGAAAGCCUGACGGAGCAACGCCGCGUGAGUGAUGAAGGUCUUCGGAUCGUAAAACUCUGUUAUUAGGGAAGAACAUAUGUGUAAGUAACUGUGCACAUCUUGACGGUACCUAAUCAGAAAGCCACGGCUAACUACGUG